AACCCGGAAGUGCAGCUUUACGGGUGGCUAGAAGAAUUACAUUUCACCCUUUCGUUCAUUGUAAAAAUUUGGGGGGGUUGAGGAUCUUAAUGGGUAGGAAUGGGGCCCAGCAAGGUCUCUCAUAACUGCUUCAUGCUGACUUUGUGGGCGUCGAGGAGUUUGGGAUGUCUGAUCGCGUCCUGGAGUGACCGAUUAAGACUAUUUUCCGGGCUCUGAGGAACUGGGUCAUCUGGCAGCUUGGACCUCGCAAGAUGCUGGAAAGACAAAAAUUACGUUUGGGAGAGAAAAAAAAUUUAGAUCCUAGUGAUUAAUAGAGGGGAGGAUUAAGAUUGAAGAUAGAAGGGGGGUUUAGGAGUUCCUGAAUGAUUGAUGGGGAGAGGUUUAAGGUGGAAUAUUGAAGGUGGAAGUUUAGGGGUUCCCGAGACCAGGAAUGACAAAGAAAGAAUUAAAUGAUACUUAUUCCGGGCGAGUCUGGUCUGUUUAGUGUGUCAUGGCAUUCCCUCAACAUCCAGGAGACACUGCUGCAGUCAGUCACAAGCCUGUUAUGUUAAGCACCCUUUAGCUCCUCCAAAGACCUUCUGUCUCCAAGCCUUACCUCUGGGUUUGACAAAGCAACCCACUCAGCAGAAAGCAGCCUUCCACCUCCUCAGCUUCCUGGAUACCUUUUGGGGAAUUGAUCUCUUCAUGCUGCAAAGACAGGUCAUUCCUGCUGCCUGGGCCAAGACCAACUCACAACACCAAACACCUGCAACAGUUCCUGGAACUUUAUCAUUGGUACCAACUCUCCUAGAUGAAGGACAUCUUCUGACUAAAAUCUGGUUGUAUCUGAUACACCUGAACCUCACCUGUCCAAUCAGGGUUCUUCCAUUCUUUCUGGCAGUUAAUGCAUAGGACUAGUAAUAGCAAUUUUUUUCUAGCUACCUGUCUUCUCAUCUCCCUCAAAAAGCAGCUGCCUGAGGUCUCCAGGAUGACUUGAAAAACAAAACAAUAAAAUAAAGC